AAUCAUGUUUAUUAAACCAAAUAAAGUUAAACGCACUAUUCUAAAAAGUAUUUUGCCCACAACUAUCGAACUUAUCUAUUUUGUUCAUGGAG